UACACUCUCACCCCAGUGUCUUUACACCGCAGACUUGAAACUCAUCUGUCUCAAAGGGAGGUGAUCCGUGCACCGAUCUUGAAUGGAUUGAUCACUGUCCUCUAUGACGAUCCUUUAAUCAGGAGUAUUUAAAAAUUAACCACUAAUGAUGUAUGUUUCAAAUUUUUAACACCUUGAGAAUAUACAAAAUCAUCUUUGUUAAUUUCUAGGACAAAUCAUGGACACAUAAGACAUGAUUGGUUAUAAAAACUAUCCAACAAGUACAAAACUUGCCCUAGAGUAAAGUAUGUGUCAGUCA
rnacentral:lncRNA from 1 species